rnacentral:snoRNA from 1 species
AUACUCUAGUUUCCUGCCCCAUCUGAUCUAAACACUGGUCUGAAUGGUUACAAAGGGACGAAAAGUAACAUGGCAAUGGAUGUCAAUGGGGUGUAGUACAUGGACUAGCUUCAAACGGUA